rnacentral:rRNA from 1 species
GACAGAGGGUGCAAACGUUGUUCGGAUUUACUGGGCGUAAAGCGCGUGUAGGCGGCUUUGCAAGUCGGAUGUGAAAGCCCACGGCUCAACCGUGGAAGUGCAUCCGAAACUGCAUGGCUGGAGUCUCGGAGAGGAAGGUGGAAUGCUUGGUGUAGAGGUGAAAUUCGUAGAUAUCAAGCAGAGCACCUGCGGCGAAGGCGGCCUUCUGGACGAUGACUGACGCUGAGACGCGAAAGCGUGGGGAGCAAACAGG